rnacentral:rRNA from 1 species
AACGCGAAGAACCUUACCUGCCCUUGACAUAGAGCGAACCCAGGAGAGAUUCUGGGGUGCCGAAAGGAACGUUCAUACAGGUGCUGCAUGGCUGUCGUCAGCUCGUGUCGUGAGAUGUUGGGUUAAGUCCCGUAACGAGCGCAACCCUUGUUCUUAGUUACCAGCACGUAAAGGUGGGGACUCUAAGGAGACUGCCGGUGACAAACCGGAGGAAGGCGGGGAUGAUGUCAAGUCAUCAUGGCCCUUACGGGCAGGGCUACACACGUGCUACAAUGGCUGGUACAGAGGGAGGCGAAGCGGAGACGUGGAGCGAAUCCUUUAAAGCCAGUCGUAGUCCGGAUUGAAGUCUGCAACUCGACUUCAUGAAGUCGGAAUCGCUAGUAAUCGCGAAUCAGCAUGUCGCGGUGAAUACGUUCCCGGGCCUUGUACACACCGCUGUA